AACCUAAUUUAUUUAAAAACUCUAGUCGACAAUAAGAGCUGGCCUCCAUAAUUUCUGUCGCUUCACAUCACCGACCUAGCUGUUAUAUUAUAGCAGAUCUUAUCAAGUCUUUUACUUUUCUGCUACAUUUUCAAAAAAAAAAAAAGACGUUCCAUUUCUUUUACUCUGAAAAUUUUAGGCAUUUCUUCUCCAUGUCUUUCGGUCUGAAAAUCUAUGACGUUUCUUCUCCUUGUCUUUCAGGCUUAAAAUCUAAGGCGCUGCUUCUCCAUUGCACACCAAACAGAACUUGGGAUGUCUCCUUCCAGACGGAGAUGCAACAUCGGAGUGAAGAACCGACUUGGAUGCCAAGAUUUUACCCCCUACAUCUCGUACUACCAGCCUCGACGUAGAAAUGUAAAGGAUUUUUAAUCAAAAGCCGCAUCAAAGUAAAUAGCCACAUUCGCCCUCUGUUCAUCUUGUUUAGGUCCUCUGCCUACUUCCAAGAUUAUCUAAAGCCCACAACAAAAGAGGCGACACUGCUCGUUUGUCCCUUGACUAAAAACCCAGGGCAUUGUCGGAGAACGUGAUUACUAUCUUCCUCAUUCUGAUUACACUUAGGACACUGGUCUUCAACAACCACUCUUUUCAACUUGAGAUUCGAAAAUUUAGGAAUAUAGUUCCAAGAUAUUUUCCAUACUGUAAUUUUCACUUUCAAAGGAAUGUUUAGAUUCCACAGUUUCUUGUAAAAAGCUCUAGUAUCGGCCUGUAUAAAAUUACUAGGAUUUAGAGUAGUUUCCUGUAAUAGUUUAUAGGCACUCCUCACUGAGAAAUUUCUAGAUGGUUCUCCUCUCCAUACUUGAAAACCAUUAUGGACUGACUUCGUCAAAGGGAUCUACAUGAUUUUUCUAGCAAUAUCCAGAUGGAAGUAUCUUGUCUUCUUCAUUGCUCGACACUCAAAGAUCUGUCCAAACUAAGAUACGAUCCCCCUUGCCAACCCUCCAACAUAAGCCUUUCUCCAUAAGUCCUUUUGCUGACCAGACACUCUUCCAGGUAAGUGAAGGUAAGUUUUCUAAAGGAGCAUUUAAGAAAUUCGAAUUUAGAUAAUACUUAGCUUUCAAAACUCGGGCUAGCAAAGAAUUGAAAUAAUUAAUAAGACGCCAACCUUGUUUAGCUAAUAAUGUGAUAUUAAAUUUAUCAAGUUUUCGAAAACCAAGAUCUCUAGCUUUUUCUAACGAACAAAUGUUCUUCCAGGCACACCAUCGUAUACCCUUUUUGCCUCUAUUUUUUUGCCACCAAAAUUUCACAAUUAUACCUUCCAAAUCGAUAGAUAAAGACUUGGGAAGUAAAAAACAAGCCAUUGAAUAAGUUGGAAUAGAUUGUAGAAGGGUUUUUUACUGAAAUAGGAUAAAAAAAAAUAAAAUAAUAUUAAAAUAAUACAAAGAAAAAAUUAUGUACUAAAAUGAUAAUUUGGGGUGAUGUCGCCUAGGGUAGAGGCAUGAUCACCUCAUGUCAGAUCAGAAGUUACUGUAGCUGUAGGUCAAAUUGCGGCGCAGUCAAAUUGCGGCGCAGGAUUAAAAUGUAAUAAUAUAAAAUAUUUAGGGACCUGUUAUGAAAUUAUACUAUUUAGAAAUUAUACCAUUUAGAAUGGCUGCUGGAAAAAAAGUGAAAGGGUGUCUCUUGAGCGGCGGCACCAAAUUAAAAUAUGGGUUAAUUUUCUUGUAAGCUUUUCUUUUUGUUAUUUUUUUAUUCCUCUUUCAACUUACUAUAUUAUUUUAAAUAAGUCAUUAACUUAUUUUUUAGUUAAAUAAGCCAUUAAUUUAUAGUUUUUACUCAUAAGCACUCUCAAGAAAUUUUAAAAUUUUAAUUUUUAUUUAAUAAACUAUUAACAUCAACUUAAAAUGUGAAUUAGUUUAUAUUUUUUUAAAUAGUUUUAUUUUGGGUAAAAUAUAUUUAUUUUAAUAUUAAAAUAAAGGGCUUUUUGAGUAAAAUUAUAAGUUAAGGGCUUAUUUUACUAAAAAAUAGGUUAAGGGUUUGUUUAAAAUAAUAUAGUGAGUUGAAGGGAAAUAAAAAGAAAAUAACAAAAAAGGAGGGCUUACAAGGAAAUUAGCCCUAUUUUAAUUUGGUGCCGCCACUCAGGCGGCACCUUUUUACUUUUUUCUCAGCAGUCAUUCUAAAUGGUAUAAUUUUAUAACAGGUCCUUAAAUAUUUUAUAUUAUUACAUUUUAGUCUUGCGCUGCAAUUUGGCCGGCAGUUACAGUAAUUUCUGAUCUGACAUGGGGUGGUCAUGCCUCUGCAAUAGGCGGCACCACCCCAAAUGUACCAUUUUGGUACAUAGUUUUUUCUUUGUAUUAUUUUGGUAUUUUUUUAAUUUUUUUUGUCCUAUUUCAGUAAAAAAACCCUUAUGGAACAGCUUUGAUAAAUACCUUCAUACCCCAUGGAGAAAGGUAUUUGAUACUCCAAAGGUCAAUUCUUUGCUGUAGUCUAUCCUUCAAAUUCUUACCCACCAAAAUAGGUAAACCUAGAUACUGUUCCGAAUCAUUUGAGCUAUGUACUCCUAGCACUUUAAUUAUUAUUCUUUUGAUCCCUUCCUGCGUAUUAGUGCUGAAAAAAUAAUAGAUUUUGAAUAGUUAACACUUUGACCAGAAUAGGUUUCAUAUUCUUGUAGAAUCUGCUUCAGUAAAUUUGCGCUCUUUCAGUAGCUUCCCGAAAUAAAAUGCAGUCAUCUGCGAAAAGUAGAUGUGAAA